rnacentral:rRNA from 1 species
GAUGAACGCUGACAGAAUGCUUAACACAUGCAAGUCUUUGGCGAAGCUGUGCUUGCACAGCCUAGCAAAGGCGGACGGGUGAGUAACGCGUAAGGAACUUGCCCUGCAGUCAGGGAUAACAGACGGAAACGACUGAUAAGAACUAGUAAAGUUAGGCCGAAUCAUGUCUAGUCUGAUGAAAAGAGAUGCUGAAGUGGAGGCUUGCGACCGAUUAGCUUGCUGGUGGGGUAACGGCCCACCAAGGCGAUGAUGGGUAGCCGGUGUGAGAGGGUGGACGGCCACAAGGGGACUGGGGGACGGCGCAUACACCUACGGGAGGCAGCAGUGAGGAAGACUGGACAAUGGGGGCAAAGCUGAGCCAGCAAUUCUGUGUGAACGAUGUAGGUUUUCGGAUUGUAAAGUGCUUUCAGCAGGGAAGAAAAAAAUGACGGUACCUGAAGAAGAAGCGACGGCUAAAUACGUG